rnacentral:rRNA from 1 species
GAUGAACGCUAGCGGCAGGCCUAAUACAUGCAAGUCGGACGGGAUUCAGGAGCUUGCUUCUGAUGAGAGUGGCGCACGGGUGCGUAACACGUAUGUAACCUACCUUUAUCAGGGGGAUAGCCUCUCGAAAGAGAGAUUAAGCCCGCAUAAAAUCACAGCACAGCAUUGUGUAAUGAUCAAAUAUUUAUAGGAUAAAGAUGGGCAUGCGGAACAUUAGCUAGAUGGCGGGGUAACGGCCCACCAUGGCGACGAUGUUUAGGGGAUCUGAGAGGAUGGCCCCCCACACUGGUACUGAGACACGGACCAGACUCCUACGGGAGGCAGCAGUAAGGAAUAUUGGUCAAUGGGCGGGAGCCUGAACCAGCCAUGCCGCGUGCAGGAAGACGGCCCUACGGGUUGUAAACUGCUUUUAGACGGGAAUAAACCCAGAUACGUGUAUCCGGCUGAAUGUACUGUAAGAAUAAGGAUCGGCUAACUCCGUG